UGUACCCUACGGGACGCAGCAGUGGGGAAUAUUGCACAAUGGGGGAAACCCUGAUGCAGCGACGCCGCGUGAGUGAAGAAGUAAUUCGUUAUGUAAAGCUCUAUCAGCAGGGAAGAAAAUGACGGUACCUGAGUAAGAAGCCCCGGCUAACUACGUGCCAGCAGCCGCGGUAAUACGUAGGGGGCAAGCGUUAUCCGGAUUUACUGGGUGUAAAGGGAGCGUAGACGGCAGUGCAAGUCUGGAGUGAAGGGCGGGGGCUGAACCACCGGACGGCUCUGGAA
rnacentral:rRNA from 1 species